rnacentral:tRNA from 1 species
GGAAUCGUGCCUGAAAGUUAAGGACCUCCUUGAUAGGGAGAACCAUAGGGAUUCAAAUUCCCUCGCUUCC